UGAGAGGUUGGCGCGGGCAAGCGCCUCGCCAACCUGGUCAGGUCCGGAAGGAAGCAGCCACAACGAGUCCCGCUUGGGUCGAUGUCCAACCUCUCACCU
rnacentral:SRP_RNA from 1 species